rnacentral:rRNA from 1 species
UACAGAGGUCUCAAGCGUUGCUCGGAAUUACUGGGCGUAAAGCGCACGUAGGCGGCUUUCUAAGUCGGGGGUGAAAUCCUGGAGCUCAACUCCAGAACUGCCUUCGAUACUGGAAAGCUCGAGUCCGGGAGAGGUGAGUGGAACUGCGAGUGUAGAGGUGAAAUGCGUAGAUAUUGGGAGGAACACCAGUGGCGAAGGCGGCUCGCUGGACCGGUUCUGACGCUGAGGCGCGAAAGCGUGGGGAGCAAACGGG